rnacentral:rRNA from 1 species
CAUCAGAACUCCGCAGUUAAGAGCGCUUGGCGCAGAGUAGUACUAGGAUGGGUGACCUCCUGGGAAGUCCUGGUAUUGCACCUUU